rnacentral:rRNA from 1 species
GAUGAACGCUGGCGGCGUGCUUAACACAUGCAAGUCGAACGGAAAGGCCCAAGCUUGCUUGGGUACUCGAGUGGCGAACGGGUGAGUAACACGUGGGUGAUCUGCCCUGCACUUCGGGAUAAGCCUGGGAAACUGGGUCUAAUACCGGAUAGGACCACUUCUUGGAUGUUGUGGUGGAAAGUUUUUUCGGUGUGGGAUGAGCUCGCGGCCUAUCAGCUUGUUGGUGGGGUAAUGGCCUACCAAGGCGUCGACGGGUAGCCGGCCUGAGAGGGUGUACGGCCACAUUGGGACUGAGAUACGGCCCAGACUCCUACGGGAGGCAGCAGUGGGGAAUAUUGCACAAUGGGCGCAAGCCUGAUGCAGCGACGCCGCGUGGGGGAUGACGGCCUUCGGGUUGUAAACUCCUUUCGCUAGGGACGAAGCGUUUUGUGACGGUACCUGGAGAAGAAGCACCGGCUACUACGUG